AAAGCGAAGUAGGGAAAUGUGUUCCUAGAAAACCCAAUAAGUUAUGUUGUGUGCGACUCGUACCGUAAACCGACACAGGUGGUCGAGGAGAGUAUCCUCAGGCGCUCGAGUGAGUCAUGGCUAAGGAACUCGGCAAAUUGGUCCUGUAACUUCGGGAUAAAGGACGCCCCCCUCAGGGGGGGCCGCAGUGAAAAGGCUCAGGCGACUGUUUAACAAAAACACAUGGCUUUGCUAAAUCGAAAGAUGAUGUAUAAGGCCUGACACCUGCCCGGUGCUGGAAGGUUAAGAGGAGAUGUCAUUCGCAAGAAGGAGCAUUGAAUCGAAGCCCCAGUAAACGGCGGCCGUAACGAUAACGGUCCUAAGGUAGCGAAAUUCCUUGUCGGGUAAGUUCCGACCUGCACGAAUGGUGUAACGAUCUGAGCGCUGUCUCAGCCAUGAGCUCGGUGAAAUUGUAGUUCCGGUGAAGGUGCCGGAUACCCGCUACGGGACGGAAAGACCCCGUGCACCUUUACUAUAGCUUAACAUUGAGUUUGGAUAAAUGAUGUGUAGGAUAGCUGGGAUACUCUGAAGCUUGGGCGCUAGCUCAGGUGGAGUCAACGUUGAAAUACAGCCUUCAUUUAUUCGGGCUCUAACUCCUCGCGGAGAACAGUGUUUGGUGGGUAGUUUGACUGGGGUGGUCGCCUCCAAAAGAGUAUCGGAGGCUUUCAAAGGUGCACUCAACACGCUUGGUAACCGUGUGUAGAGCGCAAUAGCAUAAGUGUGCUUGACUGUGAGGCUUACAAGCCGAGCAGGGUCGAAAGACGGAUAUAGUGAUCCGGUGGUUCCGCAUGGAAGGGCCAUCGCUCAAAGGAUAAAAGGUACGCCGGGGAUAACAGGCUGAUCUCCCCCAAGAGCUCACAUCGACGGGGGGGUUUGGCACCUCGAUGUCGGCUCGUCACAUCCUGGGGCUGGAGAAGGUUCCAAGGGUUCGGCUGUUCGCCGAUUAAAGUGGCACGCGAGCUGGGUUCAGAACGUCGUGAGACAGUUCGGUCCCUAUCUGUAGUGGGCGCUGGAAAUUUGAGAGGACCUGACUCUAGUACGAGAGGACCGAGUCGGACGAACCUCUAGUGUACCAAUUAUGCCGCCAGGUGUACCGUUGGGUAGCUACGUUCGGUUGAGAUAAGCGCUGAAAGCAUAUAAGCGCGAAACUCGCCUCAAGAUGAGAUUUCCUUUAAGGGUCGUAGAAGACUACUACGUUGAUAGGCUGCAGAUGUAAAGACAGUAAUGUCAAAGUCGAGCAGUACUAAUUACCC
rnacentral:rRNA from 1 species